GAGGGGAUAGCUCAGUGGCAGAGCGCAUGCUUAGCAUGCAUGAGGUCCUGGGUUAAAUCCCCAGUACCCCCA
rnacentral:tRNA from 1 species